UAACGUGUCGCGAUGGAUGACUUGGA
rnacentral:rRNA from 1 species